AUUGAACGCUGGCGGCAGGCUUAACACAUGCAAGUCGAACGCGUGGCGGACGGGCGUGUAAUGUUUGGGAAUCUAGCUUAUGGAGGGGGAUAACUACGGGAAACUGUAGCUAAUACCGCGUACCAUAGGAUGAGCCCAAGUGGGAGUGGGUAGUUGGUGAGGUAAAGGCUCACCAAGCCGGAGAUCUUUAGCUGGUCUGAGAGGGCUACCGGCCACGCUGGGACGGAGACACGGCCCAGACUCCAACGGGAGGCAGCAGUGGGGAAGAUUGGACAAUGGGCACAAGCCUGAUACAGCCAUGCCGCGUGAAUGAAGAAGGCCUUAGGGUUGUAAAGUACUUUCAGCGGGGAGGCGUUACCCGCAGAAGAAGCACCGGCUAACUCCGUGCCAGCAGCCGCGGUAAUUC
rnacentral:rRNA from 1 species